rnacentral:rRNA from 1 species
AUUGAACGCUGGCGGCAUGCCUUACACAUGCAAGUCGAACGGCAGCAUGGAGAGCUUGCUCUCUGAUGGCGAGUGGCGAACGGGUGAGUAAUGCAUCGGAACGUACCGUGUAAUGGGGGAUAACGUAGCGAAAGUUACGCUAAUACCGCAUACGAUCUGAGGGUGAAAGCAGGGGAUCGCAAGACCUUGCGUUAUACGAGCGGCCGAUGUCAGAUUAGCGAGUUGGUGAGGUAAAGGCUCACCAAGGCGACGAUCUGUAGCGGGUCUGAGAGGAUGAUCCGCCACACUGGGACUGAGACACGGCCCAGACUCCUACGGGAGGCAGCGGUGGGGAAUUUUGGACAAUGGGGGCAACCCUGAUCCAGCCAUGCCGCGUGAGUGAAGAAGGCCUUCGGGUUGUAAAGCUCUUUCGGCCGGGAAGAAAUCGCACAGGCUAAUACUCUGUGUGGAUGACGGUACCGGCAUAAGAAGCACCGGCUAACUACGUGCCAGCAGCCGCCGUAA